GCUAACAGAGUUGAGAUUUGGGGGUUAGUGGUGGAAGUAAGUUGCAAAUACUGUCUCACUCUUCCCCCAGGCUCCCUACCUGAUUUAUGUGGAAGUCCUUGAAUGUGAAAACUUUGACACCACCAGUGUCCCUGCCCGGAUCCCCGAGAACCGAAUUCGGAGUACGAGGUCCGUAGAAAACUUGCCCGAAUGUGGUAUUACCCAUGAGCAGCGAGCUGGCAGCUUCAGCACUGUGCCCAACUAUGACAACGAUGAUGAGGCCUGGUCGGUGGAUGACAUAGGCGAGCUGCAAGUGGAGCUCCCCGAAGUGCAUACCAACAGCUGUGACAACAUCUCCCAGUUCUCUGUGGACAGCAUCACCAGCCAGGAGAGCAAGGAGCCUGUGUUCAUUGCAGCAGGGGACAUCCGGUAUGGCCAGAUCACAUUGCCCCUCAUUUUUCAUCCCUCUUUCAGGAACUUCCCAUCUCUUUGUUACCUUCCUCUCCAUCUCAAUCAUCUGUUGUUGGCCUGUGUCUUUCCCUCUUUCAUUCUGUCCUUGUUUGGGGCCACCAAACUUGAGGCAAUGAAGGUGUAGGUUGAGAAAUUACUUGGGCUA
rnacentral:sRNA from 1 species